GAUGAACGCUGGCGGCGUGCUUAAUACAUGCAAGUCGAACGAACGGAUUGAGGAGCUUGCUCUUCAUGAAGUUAGUGGCGGACGGGUGAGUAACACGUGGGUAACCUGCCCUUCAGUGGGGGAUAACAUCCGGAAACGGGUGCUAAUACCGCAUAGUUUCUUUUUCCGCCUGGAAGAAGAAGGAAAGAUGGCCAUUGCGCUAUCACUGAGGGAUGGACCCGCGGCGUAUUAGUUAGUUGGUGGGGUAAUGGCCUACCAAGGCGAUGAUCAGUAGCCGAGCUGAGAGGCUGGCCGGCCACAUUGGGACUGAGAUACGGCCCAG
rnacentral:rRNA from 1 species